rnacentral:misc_RNA from 1 species
GAUGAAGAACGCAGCGAAAUGCGAUACUUGGUGUGAAUUGCAGAAUCCCGUGAACCAUCGAGUCUUUGAACGCAAGUUGCGCCCGAAGCCAUUAGGCCGAGGGCACGCCUGCCUGGGCGUCACACGUCGUUGCCCCCCCAUCUACUCCUUCGGGAUUGCGGGGGGCGGAUGAUGGCCUCCCGUGCGCCUCGCCGCGCGGUUGGCAUAAAUGCCAAGUCCUCGGCGACGCACGCCACGACAAUCGGUGGUUGCGAAACCUCGGUUGCCCGUCGUGUGCGGUCGUCGCGCAUCNNNNNNUCGANAAAAUUGCCGGGUUCCGGCUCGGCUUUCAACGCGACCCCAGGUCAGGCGGGGUUACCCGCUGAAUUUAAGCAUAUCAAUAAGCGGAGGA